rnacentral:pre_miRNA from 1 species
GAGACACCCUUAUGGGACAGGACUUUCUUCAGUGGGACUUUGGUGGGUGCUCACUAAUUCUGUCCCAUGAGUGUGUCUCU